UCGGUUCAGCAAAAAGACAGCUUCCACACAGUCCGAAAAAACCGACACCACCUCAAGACCCAACUGUUUCGCCAAGCAUAGCCCAUCUCUGAUCGCCUGGAGCUCUGCAUGCAACAGAGGAAGCUCAACCGCCACGACCUUAGACAUCGUAACAGAGAAAGGUUGAUCUGCCAGACGAAUCGCAACUCCAAUUCCCGCUGUCUGGCUACCCAUCAUGCAAUAAGCAUCGCAAUAGACACACGCCCCUUCCACCACAGGUCUAAUUUCUCACCGCCACCAUGGAGGAUGAAUGAGUUGAUUACCUUCCAAAUCUUCUUCACACCCGAACAGAACAACAGGGCAUGAAUAGCGGUCUCCGACUUUCACGAACUUCUCGGACAAAACGGUGUGAACAGGGUCGACCGCGGUGAUGACGUGGAGAGGGCUUGACCGAGGAGGGAUCACUAGUCGAGUUAGUGAGGAUAGAGGGAAGGGUCGUUUGGUGUGAGUAGCGUUGGCAUUUAUUUUAUGGCUAGGUGUGGACCCGAGGAGCGAUUUUGUUUUCUUUAGAACUACUUUUAUUUUUUUUGUAUGGAUGUUAUUGUUAAACGCGUCACUGGUGUCGUUGGAGUUUAGGUGUACGAUUGUUUUAUUUAUUUAAGAAUUUAGCCACUUAGGCUGGUAUGAGAUGUUUUUUUUUAUUGCCCACGGAGGGCGAAGUUUCGACAGUUUAUAAAAUUGAUAUUUUUUUGGUGGAA